AAGUACAACUUCGGUAUACUUUGUGAAUUGGCUUUUACAAAAGACCAAAACAUGAAGUAUACUGAAGUCGUACUU
rfam:Pongo abelii chromosome 4.